UCUAGCUAUGUUUUUGCUCACCGAAGCUAAAUAUACAUAUGAAUUGAUUCCACAGCCAUGGAAUUGAGAAAAACCAGGAAGUGAUGCUGAAAACAUAAAUGAAACUAUGAUCCACGAUCUGUUGCUCUAAACGCCGUUUCUUCCGGAGAACCUUAAAGAUAAAUAUGCAACCCUUUACAUUCUCCAGUGAUGUCAACAGCCUAAGCUGAAUUUCAAAUUACAUCGAGUCAAUGAAAAGGUGAAUGGAUUUUUAGAGCAACUCAGAUUCAAAGAAUCAAAUCGCCUUUAUUCUUAUUUUAAGGAACAUGACUGAUAACCUGUGCAGAAAAUAAAAAAAAAACUAACUAUAGCAAUCGCAGCAUAUGUUUAACCUAACAAUUAAAAAUAUAUAACUGAAAAUUACAAUAAAAA
rnacentral:lncRNA from 1 species